rnacentral:lncRNA from 1 species
GUUUUUGUUGAAUUUUAUUUACAGUUGAUUGGACAUUUUGAAAAAUUUUACAUUUGCAAUGAGGCUGGUCAAGAAAUAUUUUCAUCAAAACAGUUCUACAAAGCAUCUCAAUCCAGAGAACAUAAACAAUUUUUAAAAAUGUUUGUUGCAACUCAAGCAUUUAAACAGUUUACUUCUAAAAGAAAGAAAUAUGGGCCUGCUUAUGGGUUGUUUGAAGAUUGUUUUUUUGAAUGGAAACUAAAAAGGCGGAAUGAAAACUUGACAUACGGUUCAAAGUUCAAAGACUUUUUAUCAAUUUUGAAAUUAAAAGCUAAACCGAAUUAAGUUAUCUACGCUGUUUAUCUUAAACCGGACAUAAAUUGUUUUUGGAAAUCUAUAAAAUUCUGUUCAAAUAUACAAGUGGUCGUGAGUUUGCGAAGUUUUCUAUUUUUAAACAAUAAUGGUUUGUAAUAAUUUAAUAUCUCACGUUUUUUUAAUAGUAUAUUUUAUCACGUAUUUUUACAGUGAAAGGUUAUUUAAUAUAUA